GUGUCAGCCGCCGCGGUAAUACGGAGGAUCCAAGCGUUAUCCGGAUUUAUUGGGUUUAAAGGGUGCGUAGGCGGCUUUUUAAGUCAGGGGUGAAAGACGGUAGCUCAACUAUCGCAGUGCCCUUGAUACUGAAGAGCUUGAAUGGACUAGAGGUAGGCGGAAUGUGACAAGUAGCGGUGAAAUGCAUAGAUAUGUCACAGAACACCGAUUGCGAAGGCAGCUUACUAUGGUUUAAUUGACGCUGAGGCACGAAAGCGUGGGGAUCAAACAGGAUUAGAAACCCGGGUAGUCC
rnacentral:rRNA from 1 species